rnacentral:rRNA from 1 species
UGGGGAAAUUUGGACAAUGGGGGCAACCCUGAUCCAGCCAUCCCGCGUGUGCGAUGAAGGCCUUCGGGUUGUAAAGCACUUUUGGCAGGGAAGAAACAGCCUGGGCUAAUAUCCCGGGCGACUGACGGUACCUGCAGAAUAAGCACCGGCUAACUACGUGCCAGCAGCCGCGGUAAUACGUAGGGUGCAAGCGUUAAUCGGAAUUACUGGGCGUAAAGCGUGCGCAGGCGGUUCGGAAAGAAAGGUGUGAAAUCCCAGGGCUUAACCUUGGAAUUGCACUCUUAACUACCGGGCUAGAGUACGUCAGAGGGGGGUAGAAUUCCACGUGUAGCAGUGAAAUGCGUAGAGAUGUGGAGGAAUACCGAUGGCGAAGGCAGCCCCCUGGGAUGAUACUGACGCUCAUGCACGAAAGCGUGGGGAGCAAACA